rnacentral:misc_RNA from 1 species
AAGUCGUAACAAGGUUUCCGUAGGUGAACCUGCGGAAGGAUCAUUAACAAUCUUUCAUGCAUCCAAAUCCUUGGAUGUUUAACCCCACAAACAGCGAACUUGUUCUCUCGGGAAAACGUUGAUGGGCAGGUAGCGGUCUUCGGACUGUCUAUUUGUUCUUUCCCAUUAAGAGAGGUUUUUUUUUUCCAAUUAACUUUUUUUUAACCCCAUGAAAAUUUCUGACUGAAACCUGUUAGUGCACUAACGUGCUCUGACGUAAUUCUUAAUGAAUUAACAACUCUUAACAACGGAUAUCUUGGCUCUC